UCCGUAGGCAGCAAGCGUUGUUCGGAAUUACUGGGCGUAAAGCGUGCGCAGGCGGCUUUGCAAGACAGAUGUGAAAUCCCCGGGCUCAACCUGGGAACUGCAUUUGUGACUGCAAGGCUAGAGUACGGUAGAGGGGGAUGGAAUUCCGCGUGUAGCAGUGAAAUGCGUAGAUAUGCGGAGGAACACCGAUGGCGAAGGCAAUCCCCUGGACCUGUACUGACGCUCAUGCACGAAAGCGUGGGGAGCAAACAGG
rnacentral:rRNA from 1 species